rnacentral:rRNA from 1 species
CCUACGGGAGGCAGCAGUGAGGAAUCUUGCUCAAUGGGCGCGAGCCUGAACCAGCCACGCCGCGUGAAGGAUGAAUGCCCUCCGGGUUGUAAACUUCUUUUAUAAAGGAAUAAAGUGAGGCACGUGUGCCUUUUUGUAUGUACUUUAUGAAUACGGAUCGGCUAACUCCGUGCCAGCAGCCGCGGUAAUACGGAGGAUCCGAGCGUUAUCAGGAUUUAUUGGGUUUAAAGGGAGCGUAGAUGGGUUGUUAAGGCAGUUGUGAAAGUUUGCGGCUCAACCGGAAAAUGGCAAGGGAUACUGGCAGACGUGAGUACAGUUGAGGAAGGCGGAAUUCGUGGUGUAGCGGUGAAAUGCGGAGAU